UACGUAGGGUGCAAGCGUUGUCCGGAAUUAUUGGGCGUAAAGAGCUCGUAGGCGGUUUGUCGCGUCUGCUGUGAAAACCCGAGGCUCAACCUCGGGCCUGCAGUGGGUACGGGCAGACUAGAGUGCGGUAGGGAGACUGGAAUUCCUGGUGUAGCGGUGAAAUGCGCAGAUAUCAGGAGGAACACCGGUGGCGAAGGCGGGUCUCUGGGCCGAUACU
rnacentral:rRNA from 1 species